rnacentral:rRNA from 1 species
AUCAACGCUGGCGGCGUGCCUAACACAUGCAAGUCGAACGCGAAAGCCCCGCAAGGGGUAAGUAGAGUGGCAAACGGGUGAGUAGACACGUGGGUGACCUGCCUCAGAGUGGGGGGAUAACGUUCCGAAAGGAGCGCUAAUACCGCAUAACAUCCUGCGUUUGGAAACGCAGACAUCAAAGCAGGGGAUCGCAAGACCUGGCCGCUCAGAGAGGGGCCCGCGGCCCGAUUAGCUAGUUGGGUGGUGUAAUGGCCCACCAAGGCGACGAUCGGUAUCCGGCCUGAGGAGGGCGGACGACACACUGGGACUGAGACACGCCCAGACUCCUACGGGAGGCAGCAGUGGGAAUUGUUCGCAAUGGGCGCAAGCCUGACGACGCAACGCCGCGUGGAGGACGAAGAUCUUCGGGUCGUAAACUCCUUUCGAUAGGGAAGAAACGCAUCAGGGCUUAACAUCCUCGAAGGGUUGACUGGUACCCGAGAGAAGAAGCCCCGGCUAAACUCCGUGCCAGCAGCCGCGGUAAUACGGGGGGAGCAAGCGUUACUCGGAAUUAUUGGGCGUAAAGGGCGACGUAGGCGAUCCUGCAAGUCUCGUGUGAAAGCCCAGAGCCUAACUCUGAGGGCACGAGAUACUGAAGGAUUUGAGUUCCGGAGAGGAAGAUGGAAUUCCCGGUGUAGCGGUGAAAUGCGGUAGAUAUCGGGAGGAACACCAGUGGCGAAGGCGAUUCUUCUGGACGGAUACUGACGCUGAGGCGCGAAGCUAGGGAGCAAACGGGAUUAGAUACCCCGGUAGUCCUAGCCGUAAACGAUGUACACUUGGUGUGUCCGCCUUGGCGGAUGUGCCGUGCUAACCAAUCAGUGUACCGCCUGGGGAGUACGUCGCAAGGCUGAAACUCAAAGGAAUUGACGGGGGCCCGCACAAGCGGUGGAGCAUGUGGUUCAAUUCGAUGCAACGCGAAGAACCUUACCGGGGUUUGAACUGUAGUGGGAAGACCCAGAGAUGGGUAACCCUAGCAAUAGGCCGCUACAGAGGUGCUGCAUGGCUGUCGUCAGCUCGUGUCGUGAGAUGUUGGGUUAAGUCCCGCAACGAGCGCAAACCCUUGCCUUUAGUUGCUCAUUCACCUUCGGGUGGAUAGCAACUCUAAAUGGGACUGCUGGUGAUAAAACCGGAGGAAGGGUGGGGGACGACGUCAAGUCAUCAUGGCCUUUAUGUCCCGGGCUACACACGUGCUACAAUGAUCGGUACAAAGGGUUGCCAAGCCGCGAGGUGGAGCCAAUCCCAGAAAACCGACCUCAGUUCGGAUUGCACUCUGCAACUCGAGUGCAUGAAGGUGGAAUCGCUAGUAAUCGCGGAUCAGCAUGCCGCGGUGAAUACGUUUCCGGGCCUUGUACACACCGCCCGUACACCACGAAGUGGAUUGUACCCGAAGUUCUCAAGCCAACCCUUUGGGAGGCAGAGGCCCAAGGUAUGAUUCAUGAUUGGGGUG